AAGACCGUACUAACUAGGAUCAUUUCUAUAGUAUGCGUCCUGUCAUUGUAAUUCUACAAAGACAACCCACCGAACCAUGAUGAUGAGCUGAAGUAACAGCGCCUGAGCGUGAUGCUUAACUCCUAGAGAUCGUCAGAUCGAUAUGAGUUAUAGAUGAUCGUUCUGCCCGUCUUUCAGGACGGGCGGAGGGUGCCGUUACCAGCUGAAUGGU